rnacentral:rRNA from 1 species
CAGUCGCCGCGGUAAUACGAAGGGGGCUAGCGUUGUUCGGAAUUACUGGGCGUAAAGCGUACGUAGGCGGUUUUGUAAGUUAGAGGUGAAAGCCCGGAGCUCAACUCCGGAAUUGCCUUUAAGACUGCAUCGCUUGAACGUCGGAGAGGUGAGUGGAAUUCCGAGUGUAGAGGUGAAAUUCGUAGAUAUUCGGAAGAACACCAGUGGCGAAGGCGGCUCACUGGCCCGAUACUGACGCUGAGGUGCGAAAGCGUGGGGAGCAAACAGGAUUAGAGACCCCGGUAGUCCCUGUCUCUUAUAC